AUUUUUUUUUAUUUUCCUCUUCUUUCUUUAUAGUAGCGUGCGAUGUCAACGAUGUGAGCGCCCGCAUGCUCGCCAUUAACCAUGUUUUAGUUGUGGCCCCUGAAAUUAAAAUUUCGCGCCAACAACCUGUAGCAAUUUGCGAGGCCAAGCCUCUACAUUCUCCUGGAUAUUUAAGCAUUGUGUCAUGGCGUCCGACAUUCAUUCGCGCAGCAACGUAUUUUAUUGUUUCAACCUUAGUGCAAAGCUUACAGCUUUGCAACAGGUAGCUGGAUUUCAAUCAGAGAAGUUACUUUAGAAAGUGUUACACCGUAUAUUUCUAAAAAUGAAACAGUCAACAUUGUUUUUUACGUACGUUUCCUUGGUCCGCAUUUUGCAUGUUUUUGUGGUCUGCUUGUGCGCGUUGUCCGUGGAGUCUGCACUUAGCACGUGUGUGUUUGCUGUAGCGCUCUAAGUGGACGCAUUUUUGUUAAGAGGUUAGAAGACGAAGAAUGCCAUGCGCUUAUAUCCCGUCCGCGCGACAUUUAUUCCGGAUAACAAGAAAGCACGUGUGUGACACUGAUGUUUGUCAUGGGCUGCUGCGUCGGAACGUGCGCGAAGGAAAGAGCGGUACGCCCACCACCCCGACGGUAGAACUUGUUUUCCGUGAGCGCUUUCCUCCUCUUGCGUGUACACACGACUCUGCCAGCCGAAUGUUUGAUUCACGUGUGGCGGACGGCACCGGUGUCAAAAGAGCUUGUGCGGUGCCGGUGCAGUGCAGGCGUGGUGUCCGCGAUGCCUGCUUAAGUUGUCGCACACGCCUUCAGUCGAUCGCGAAGGUGUGCGACAUGUCACCGGUUUAAGCUGAACGAUUUACGGCCCGGCCUAUUUACCAGGAUUAUAAAUUGGGCUGGCUGGUCACGGUCAAACCACUUGAAUGUCACUACAACAAACCACUUCUCACAGAAGAAUGUGAUAAAAUAUACCCACAUUCAUAUCUGGUCCACAAGUUCAGUGCACUCCAAUCAACAGGUAUAAGCAAACCAAGCAGCGGAGUCUACUGCGAUGUUCUUUUAAAUCAGUGCCUAUCCUGAAGAAUUUAUUAUUCAGAAAGUAUAUAUGCUUGACUAAUCGUAUGGUGAAUUUUUUCCCAGAGUCCACAUACAUCAAGUUCCCAUCGUCCAGCGGAUCCGCAUAACAAGUAGCCUGGUUUCGAUGCUGGCAGGUCAAAUGUAGGAGAAAUACACUUAUUAGGAGCUUCAUCGAAAUGUAUUCAAUGCUUUUUCCUUUGUUGUCAAAUUCAAUGUUUACUUCCGAUAACAUUACAAGGAAAAUUGGUCUUGAAAUAAAAGACUACAAGAAA